UACGGGGGGGGCAAGCGUUGUUCGGAAUUACUGGGCGUAAAGGGCGCGUAGGCGGCCUUCUAAGUCGGACGUGAAAUCCCUCGGCUUAACCGAGGAACUGCGUCCGAUACUGAAAGGCUUGAAUCCGGGAGAGGGAUGUGGAAUUCCAGGUGUAGCGGUGAAAUGCGUAGAUAUCUGGAGGAACACCGGUGGCGAAGGCGGCAUCCUGGACCGGCAUUGACGCUGAGGCGCGAAAGCUAGGGGAGCAAACGGGG
rnacentral:rRNA from 1 species